AAUGGCGGCGCCCGGGACGGAGCCGCGGCCGCCGGGGGCGGUGCGGACGGCGGCGGGAUGGCGGCGGCUAUGGCGAGCACGGCGGAGCGGGCGGUGCUGGAAGAAGAGUUUAAAUGGCUUUUACAAGAAGAGGUCCAUGCUGUUUUGAGGCAGCUGCAGGAUAUUUUGAAGGAGGCCUCCCACCGCUUUGCUCUGCCCACCAGUGGCUCAGGAGCAGCUGUCAGGCAGGAGAAUUUCGUACUGAGCACAUCAGGCACAGACCAGGUGAAAGGUGUGUUGACACUACAGGGAGACGCCCUAUGUCAAGCUGAUGUUAAUCUGAAAAUGCCCAGAAACAAUCAGCUCCUGCACUUUGCAUUCCGGGAAGACAAACAGUGGAAAUUGCAGCAGAUCCAGGAUGCCAGAAACCAUGUGAACCAAGCCAUUUACCUGCUUAUGAACCGAGAUGUGAACUACCAGUUCAAAACAGGCUCAGAGGUGCUCAAGCUUAUGGAUGCUGUGAUGUUGCAGCUCUCCAGAGCCCGAAAUCGGCUGACCACUCCAGCUACCCUAACACUACCAGAAAUUGCCUCUAGCGGUCUCACAAAAAUGUUCACCCCUGUGCUGCCUCCAGACAUCCUUGUGAAUUUCUAUAUUAAUCUGAACAAGCUGUGCCUCACUGUCUACCAGCUCCAUGUGCUGCAGCCCAGCACAACCAAGAACUUCAAGCCUGCUGGAGGGUCCAUUUUACACAACCCUGGGGCCAUGUUUGAGUUUGGCAGCCAGCGGUAUGAAGUCAGCCACGUCCAUAAAGUGGAAUGUGUUGUCCCGUGGUUAAAUGAUGCCCUUGUGUUCUUCACAGUUUCACUGCAGCUUUGCCAGCAACUGAAGGACAAGAUCUCCGUUUUCUCCAGUUACUGGAACUACAGGCCAUAUUAACUCUCUGUGGAAUAGUUUAAGCCCUUACAGUACUUCCAGUGUCUCUCUCUUUGUUUUCUCAUCCCAUCUGAGUCUAGGUCAGCCUGAGGAAUGUUGGAGUUCACUGCCAGAUGCCCUCCAAAGGGCAGGGUCAGUGUACCCAGAGACACAGCUUUAGUAGCCUUGUCUGGGACUGCUGCAUAAGCAGGUCACAAAGCAGUGCUGGGUGAUUGGAGCUUCCACCUGUCCCUGUCCUCUUGAGCAUUGUGUGCCUCACAUUUCCCAAGCUCCUGAUGAGUUACACGGGUCUGUUACAAGGGAUGAGGGCUCUGGACCACCCUCAUUAACUGGAUCUGUACACAGUGCUGUAACUUAACUCCUGGACUGGGGGGUGGCUGGGAAGAGGGGAAGGGUAAUUUAACACACUUCAUAAAAGGUAGGGCAUGUUGCUCCACGUAGUGAAGUACUUUGCUGUGAUCUGCUCCAGCUGUAGUUAUCACUAACCCUGAGUGACUCCCUCUCCUGCCUGUUCUGUCCAUGCCCAUGUUACUGAUUCGCCUUUGAGGAUGCUCUUACUUGCUGAUGUUUGAACUCUUUGGUUUUUUUUUCUUUUUUUCCCUGGCAUCAAUGUGAUUUUUUUUUUUCCCUAAGCCCUAGUUGGGCUCAUUGGUCUUUUCCAGGUUUAGUAUCUUGUUUUCGCUGCUAGCCUUUGGAGUUGCCUUGGUACCUUGAGCACAGCUGUUCAGUCCCUCAUCCUGUCAUUAAAUACAAACUUGGUUGUUUUCCAAGUGCCAUCCAGAGCUCUGUGUUCAAAGAAAUCACAGAAUGGUUGAGGCUGGAAGGGGGAUCUCUAGGUCUAUCCGGUCCAAUUCUCCUCUCAAGAAGGGCUGUCCAAACCUUGUCUCCCAGUACCGUGUUCAGAGGGGUUUUGAAUCACUCCAAGGGUGGAGACUAGAGGUUGGUAUGUUGCUUUCAUUUUUAUUUGUCCUGCAUAGACCUUUGCUCUGGGCAUGUGGCCUGUCUUGUCUGUGCCCUUCCUUCCUGCCCCUUUGUGAGAUCCCUGGGUGUGGCGUUUAUUAAUAUAAUAAACUCACACGACUUGGUUGGUUGGGGGUCCAAACAACCAAAUCUGUUUAUUGGGAGCAAACAGCAUCUUUUAUAUGCACUUUAAAACAACACGUGAUUCUCUUAACCAAUUACCAUGGGGCACCCCAGUGCCUAUGUGCAGGAGUACAAUUGGGACUUCAUCUCCCAGGAUGCUCCUUCCAGUAUCCCUAAAAUAUGCCCUUGCACCUGGGAUUCUGUGUGGGUUAGUGCCAGCCUUGUGCUGCUGCAGCCUCCUUCUCUGGGGACUCGACACUUGGUGCUGUGCUUGGCCUAAUGCAUGCUGAUGUCACAGGUUGCAGGCCAUAACAGAUCCUACACGUGACUGAUGAAUGUGUGUGAAUGAAUGUGGAAGGUAGAGAGGCCUGGAUGGGCUGAUGCAAUAGCAGACUUGUUACUGAUUCCAGUCAGCCUUAUGACUAGUUGCGGCCAUGACCCUGGGUGUGCAUUUACCAACCCUUGCUCUGAUCCAGACCAUUUUCUGCUUAGAAAGUGAUUGUGCAUGUGUGGAGCUGCUCACCAUUAACAGUCUCUCCAGAGGAGAAUGUUUUUAUGGUUAAUAAGCUCUCUGGUUAUUAACUGUCUAUGGUCUUUUUUAGCCCUCCCUUUGUGCAGAGUGAGCUCCUUUUUUAAUUCACACUAGUGCGUGCGGUUCAAUCAAUAGUGUCACAUCCUCUCCAACUCAGCUUCCUGCUGAUAGGGGUAGAAUAUGCAACCAAAUGCGUGUUGUUUUCUUCUGAUGAGAAAAGUCUUCCUCGGUUCUGGAAGGCAGGAGUGUGCAGAAUGGAAUGCCAGUCCUGAUUCCAGCUCUGAUGCGCGAGGGCAGUGCAGGGAGGACUGCUGGAGACUGCUUGAGUUGCUGGGAUCAGAGCAGCUGCCUGCCCAGCCCAGCUCCAAGGGAAGUCAUCUGGCACAUGCCUCGUGCUGAGCUCUGCACUCACCCAUCAAGGUGGCAAGAGCAGCAAUGUCCUGCUUAAUCUCAAAGAAUCUUUUUCUUGCCAACCAGCUCAGGAAGGUGUAGAUCUCACUUUCCAGGCCUGGGCUUUGGCUCGGCUCCAUUUCUGCUCAGAGCUUCUCGGGGGUGGGGGAGACCUGGGGACCUGCUGGGCAGUGAGACAGCCCCUGUGAGCCGGGAGGACUGGAAGAGAUGCAGCCACACGCUGCCAGUCCCUCGCUGGAGGAUGCAGGCCAUCACCUGAGUCAGGAGACUGGCCUUGCUUGCUUCUUGUAGAGGAGUCGAGUGGAUGGAAGCAUCAUGGCAGCGCUGUGUCAUCAGCUUUGGGGUACAGGGGAGGAUGCAUGUGGGUCACUGGGGACUGGAGCUAGGAAGAGCCUGGCGUACCCCACUCCCAGGGAGCAGCAGCCAGCAGCAGGCCUGUGCCCACUGGGAUCAGAAGGAGAGGUGUGGAGCUGAGUUGUGCAUUGGCUUUGUUCCUCCAGACACUCGAUCCUGGCAGAAUAUACGAAUCCAUGGGUGCUCAGCCUGAAUAUGAAAAUGCUGGCCUGCAUCCUUGUGGUGGGGAAAAAAAAGUGUUUUCCCCUGGAGCUAAAAAAAAUGGUAACCCCGAGGGGGUGGUGUUUCUUGGUGUUGACCCAAUCAGCGCCCCUGCAGAAUUAAAACAUAUCACACCAGACCGGAAAAGAAGGAGGAUGACGUAGCUGAAAAAGUGGCAGCCAUGGUCUGAGACCACGAGGAGACAGGGGGCUAGGAGCCCCGCUGGGGGCCAAGGCCCCACCAGCCCCCCGGCUGGGGCUGCAGAAACUCGGAAACAGUGUUAAACUGGGCUGAGUACUGUGGCCAAGAGCUGAGGGAGUUUUUCUCCACUGUGAGUGGGCAGCAGGAGUGGCAGCAGAGACAGCACCGAACAGAGAACUGCGGCUGAAAACCAAGAAGAUAAGAGAGAAGCAGCAUUGCAGCCAAGCUGACGGAGGGAGGGAGAGAGGACUAAACUCAACAAAGAUAGUUUUGGGGUAAGACUGAAUUAAAUCUCCCCAAAACCCCUUUGAGACCCCUCUUGGGAGGAGGGGGUGGACUUCUACUUGAUGGGAGUCCUAAAAUGCAGCAUGCACCGGAGAGAGGAACUGAGAAGCUCAGAGACGUCCUGGAAGCUGGACCAGGACGGCUGGACGGAAUGCGGGGGAAGUGGCCUUCUCCCUCCGCUGCUGCUGCCAGGCUGGCAGCUGAGACAGAGCAAAGGAGCUCUGAUGGGAUGCUUGGGGCAAAGACUGAACUGAGAGCAGCCCUAAAUGUUCUGACUUGAGGGAACUUGACCACUCGAGGAAGGGACUUUCAUGGGAUGUCUUACACCUCAUGAUAUGACAUGGUGAAGCAAGCUUUUGUCCCAGCAAUCGCAGUCCACAGGAGAGAGACCUUCACUUGGAGCUGAAGGACUGAGAGGGGUGAGAGGAGACCCCCUUGUGUGUAAUGGAGAGAGCCAGCUACAACAACUCCAGCUAUGACUGCUGCCCUGAACGUGCAAAGGAUCUUUCCUUCUUCCCUUCUGGACUUUUACUGGAGGGAGAGGAGACUUGAUCCAAUGUAAAUAUUGCUUUACCAUAGGAGAGAUAGUUAGAAUUGUGUAUAUAAUGUAUUAUAAUAUUUACUUGUGUAAUAAUUGUAAUAUAAUUCCCUUCCCCCCA